UGCAGAAUCCCGUGAACCAUCGAGUCUUUGAACGCAAGUUGCGCCCGAGGGACCAUCCCGAGGGCACGCCUGCCUCAUGGGCGUAAUAA
rnacentral:rRNA from 1 species